AAGGGAAACAGGUUAAUAUUCCUGUACUAUAUCAAGGAGGUAAAAUGGUAACAUAAAUGAACUCAAAUACAUCAGUAGAAUAACCAGGAAGAGUUCUCUUUUCUUCUUAACAACUUCCUCGCAAGAGGUGUAUAAAUGACCAUGGAAUCAAUUUAGUUGGAGAAAUGGUUAAAGAGUUGGCAGAGUAAUUCAAUUUCUGAAUUAUCUGGUUAGGUUCUAAUGAUACAUAAAAAUUUAGAGGGGAAUGAUCUUGCUUGAAUAGUCGUACUCAUAACCGCAGCAGGUCUCCAAGGUUAGAAGCCUCUAGUUGGCAGAAUAAUGUAGGUAAGGGAAGUCGGCAAAAUAGAUCUGUAACUUCGGGAAAAAGAUUGGCUCUAAAGGCUGAGGUAUAAUGGGGCUAUAUGUGAAGUUAUUGGAGAUUAGGUCGUUACGUA
rnacentral:rRNA from 1 species